GCAGCCCUUUGUUCUUCUCCAG
rnacentral:miRNA from 1 species